GCCGGGCGUGUGGCACACACCUGUAAUCCAAGCAAAUCAGGAGGCUGAGGCAGGAGGAUUGCUGGUUUGAGGCCAGCCUAGGCAACUUAGUGAGAUCCUACCUCAA
rnacentral:sRNA from 1 species